ACUAAGCGUACACGGUGGAUGCCCUGGCAGUCAGAGGCGAUGAAGGACGUGCUAAUCUGCGAUAAGCGUCGGUAAGGUGAUAUGAACCGUUAUAACCGGCGAUUUCCGAAUGGGGAAACCCAGUGUGAUUCGUCACACUAUCAUUAACUGAAUCCAUAGGUUAAUGAGGCGAACCGGGGGAACUGAAACAUCUAAGUACCCCGAGGAAAAGAAAUCAACCGAGAUUCCCCAGUAGCGGCGAGCGAACGGGGAGCAGCCCAGAGCCUGAAUCAGUGUGUGUGUUAGUGGAAGCGUCUGGAAAGGCGUGCGAUACAGGGUGACAGCCCCGUACACAAAAAUGCACAUAUUGUGAGCUCGAUGAGUAGGGCGGGACACGUGGUAUCCUGUCUGAAUAUGGGGGGACCAUCCUCCAAGGCUAAAUACUCCUGACUGACCGAUAGUGAACCAGUACCGUGAGGGAAAGGCGAAAAGAACCCCGGCGAGGGGAGUGAAAAAGAACCUGAAACCGUGUACGUACAAGCAGUGGGAGCACGCUUAGGCGUGUGACUGCGUACCUUUUGUAUAAUGGGUCAGCGACUUAUAUUCUGUAGCAAGGUUAACCGAAUAGGGGAGCCGAAGGGAAACCGAGUCUUAACUGGGCGUUAAGUUGCAGGGUAUAGACCCGAAACCCGGUGAUCUAGCCAUGGGCAGGUUGAAGGUUGGGUAACACUAACUGGAGGACCGAACCGACUAAUGUUGAAAAAUUAGCGGAUGACUUGUGGCUGGGGGUGAAAGGCCAAUCAAACCGGGAGAUAGCUGGUUCUCCCCGAAAGCUAUUUAGGUAGCGCCUCGUGAAUUCAUCUCCGGGGGUAGAGCACUGUUUCGGCAAGGGGGUCAUCCCGACUUACCAACCCGAUGCAAACUGCGAAUACCGGAGAAUGUUAUCACGGGAGACACACGGCGGGUGCUAACGUCCGUCGUGAAGAGGGAAACAACCCAGACCGCCAGCUAAGGUCCCAAAGUCAUGGUUAAGUGGGAAACGAUGUGGGAAGGCCCAGACAGCCAGGAUGUUGGCUUAGAAGCAGCCAUCAUUUAAAGAAAGCGUAAUAGCUCACUGGUCGAGUCGGCCUGCGCGGAAGAUGUAACGGGGCUAAACCAUGCACCGAAGCUGCGGCAGCGACACUAUGUGUUGUUGGGUAGGGGAGCGUUCUGUAAGCCUGUGAAGGUGUACUGUGAGGUAUGCUGGAGGUAUCAGAAGUGCGAAUGCUGACAUAAGUAACGAUAAAGCGGGUGAAAAGCCCGCUCGCCGGAAGACCAAGGGUUCCUGUCCAACGUUAAUCGGGGCAGGGUGAGUCGACUCCUAAGGCGAGGCCGAAAGGCGUAGUCGAUGGGAAACAGGUUAAUAUUCCUGUACUUGGUGUUACUGCGAAGGGGGGACGGAGAAGGCUAUGUUGGCCGGGCGACGGUUGUCCCGGUUUAAGCGUGUAGGCUGGUUUUCCAGGCAAAUCCGGAAAACUAAGGCUGAGGCGUGAUGACGAGGCACUACGGUGCUGAAGCAACAAAUGCCCUGCUUCCAGGAAAAGCCUCUAAGCAUCAGGUAACAUCAAAUCGUACCCCAAACCGACACAGGUGGUCAGGUAGAGAAUACCAAGGCGCUUGAGAGAACUCGGGUGAAGGAACUAGGCAAAAUGGUGCCGUAACUUCGGGAGAAGGCACGCUGAUAUGUAGGUGAAGUCCCUCGCGGAUGGAGCUGAAAUCAGUCGAAGAUACCAGCUGGCUGCAACUGUUUAUUAAAAACACAGCACUGUGCAAACACGAAAGUGGACGUAUACGGUGUGACGCCUGCCCGGUGCCGGAAGGUUAAUUGAUGGGGUCAGCGCAAGCGAAGCUCUUGAUCGAAGCCCGGUAAACGGCGGCCGUAACUAUAACGGUCCUAAGGUAGCGAAAUUCCUUGUCGGGUAAGUUCCGACCUGCACGAAUGGCGUAAUGAUGGCCAGGCUGUCUCCACCCGAGACUCAGUGAAAUUGAACUCGCUGUGAAGAUGCAGUGUACCCGCGGCAAGACGGAAAGACCCCGUGAACCUUUACUAUAGCUUGACACUGAACAUUGAGCCUUGAUGUGUAGGAUAGGUGGGAGGCUUUGAAGUGUGGACGCCAGUCUGCAUGGAGCCGACCUUGAAAUACCACCCUUUAAUGUUUGAUGUUCUAACGUUGACCCGUAAUCCGGGUUGCGGACAGUGUCUGGUGGGUAGUUUGACUGGGGCGGUCUCCUCCUAAAGAGUAACGGAGGAGCACGAAGGUUGGCUAAUCCUGGUCGGACAUCAGGAGGUUAGUGCAAUGGCAUAAGCCAGCUUGACUGCGAGCGUGACGGCGCGAGCAGGUGCGAAAGCAGGUCAUAGUGAUCCGGUGGUUCUGAAUGGAAGGGCCAUCGCUCAACGGAUAAAAGGUACUCCGGGGAUAACAGGCUGAUACCGCCCAAGAGUUCAUAUCGACGGCGGUGUUUGGCACCUCGAUGUCGGCUCAUCACAUCCUGGGGCUGAAGUAGGUCCCAAGGGUAUGGCUGUUCGCCAUUUAAAGUGGUACGCGAGCUGGGUUUAGAACGUCGUGAGACAGUUCGGUCCCUAUCUGCCGUGGGCGCUGGAGAACUGAGGGGGCUGCUCCUAGUACGAGAGGACCGGAGUGGACGCAUCACUGGUGUUCGGGUUGUCAUGCCAAUGGCACUGCCCGGUAGCUAAAUGCGGAAGAGAUAAGUGCUGAAAGCAUCUAAGCACGAAACUUGCCCCGAGAUGAGUUCUCCCUGACUCCUUGAGAGUCCUGAAGGAACGUUGAAGACGACGACGUUGAUAGGCCGGGUGUGUAAGCGCAGCGAUGCGUUGAGCUAACCGGUACUAAUGAACCGUGAGGCUUAACC
rnacentral:rRNA from 1 species